rnacentral:lncRNA from 1 species
GAUCCGCCUUCAGUAUCCGAUGAAGUGUCCGAAACCUCUCAGUCACCAUCACCUGCUCCACCAGCUGCUGAGCAUAGUUGCAGCAACGUGAGCGCUCCUCUAUAUGCGCUAUGUGCUUAGCAGCAUUAAGUGAUUUUUGGUGCGAACUGCCAAACAAAACAUGUGUUAUUGUAAUUUGCUACUUACUCUGCUGUUUUAGGAAUUUCUUCUUAGAAACAAAAUAGUGCUCCCUCUGUUCCAUUUUGCCUUCAGGGAGCAAAGAAAUCCUACUCUAUCUAGACUAUUUUUAUGGUAUUAUUAUUCCUUUUUUCUCUCUAUUUAAGUUCAGAAACUGAUCAACUAACUACGUCAGUUGAUUCACGGCCAUUGGAUCUUAGCAAAAAAAAAUACAAGUACAGAAUAUUUAAUAGUUGUCGAUUUAGAUGGAUGUGACAAUUGUCCCACCGUCAUUUUUUUUCUUUCUCCCCACUUGCCAAAUUGCCCAAUAAUUGGCGAGAGGAUGAAAAUUGGUUUUGCUAAGGGUAUAAGACUAACCAACUCCAGAUUUGAUUUAGUUCCUAAAUUUCAGAUUUCAGCAUUGAGAAUUUUUUUUAUUCUUGCAAUCUCGAGUGAAAUGAAUUUAAUGACAAAGGAAUUAGAACAAGUUCCAAGUGAAUCCCCCAUACCUGACCAGAGUGGCCUUCAAUCGCAAGCAACAUCUGUGGUGGUGGAGCUGCUUGAUGACUACUGGUUCUUCCGCAAUUGCCUCCGUCACAAUCAUACUACUCCUCCCAAUAAAUCAAAGGACGAGGUUUCGA